rnacentral:rRNA from 1 species
UACGUAGGGUGCGAGCGUUGUCCGGAAUUAUUGGGCGUAAAGAGCUUGUAGGCGGUUUGUCGCGUCUGCUGUGAAAAUCCGGGGCUCGACCCCGGACUUGCAGUGGGUACGGGCAGACUAGAGUGUGGUAGGGGAGACUGGAAUUCCUGGUGUAGCGGUGAAAUGCGCAGAUAUCAGGAGGAACACCGGUGGCGAAGGCGGGUCUCUGGGCCGAAACUGACGCUGAGGAGCGAAAGCGUGGGGAGCAAACAGG